rnacentral:lncRNA from 1 species
CCAUGAUUAAAAAAUAUAUAGUGAACUAAUUUGGACAGAGAUAUGCAGUUUAUGGUAUUUUAUAGCUACAGUUUCUGUUUCAUUAACAAUAAAUCUCGCAUUUCCUGACUCCAAGAUAUCUAGCUAAUAUUCAAGUUCUCUCCAAAUGUUUAUCGCCAUCUCUGGCCUGAAAUGUCUCUAUAUCUGACACUAGACUUGCAUACUCUAUUUUUGAUGUAACUCCGAAGAAAAAGUCAAAUGGAGUGAUGUCAGGCAAGUACGGUGGCUAAGAUGUCGACUAUUCUAAUUUUCAGCAUUCUGGAAAAGUUGCAUCGAGGAAUGUCAAAUAUCCAAUCUCCAAAAUGGUGGUAUUCCAUCUUAUUGAGAAAUUACUCACAGUUCAUAGUCUUCCAACUGAGCACAACAAACAACUGCAGGAUAUGCACAUAUGUAUACAGUGGUUGUAAUGAUAGCUGCAGUGAGAAAGAAAAGUCUAAUAAACUUUGUUAUGCAUCAGAUCACACCAAGCAUUAAUCUUUCGACUGUCUAUUUCAUAGUGUUGAUCAUCACUUUUGGAUUCUCUUUUCUCUCUAUAUGCACGUUAUGUCUGUUGACCAUUUCUGCAAUGUUAAACUUCACUUCAUCUACAAAACAAAUAUGCCAGAAGUAGUCAUUGUCAUCAUCAAUGCAGGAUAAAAUCCCACUGUAAAUGCAGCACAAUGCUAGAGGUCAUUUGGUGUAAUUGAUUGCAUGAUUUGUAUCUUAUAUGCAUAUAAAUGUUUAUGCAAAAUUUUAUGAAUUGUAGUACAGAGUAUUUAUAAUUCAUAUAAUACUCUGCAAAUGAAUUUUCUUGGACUUCAUAUAUAUGCAUUUCAAACUGUCUCAAUAAUCUCUUUCAUCACAAGUGGACAGUUGUAAUGCUUCCUGUCUACUUGAAUUUUUCAUACCAUUGUUUAAUUGUCCAUACUCAGUUUGGAAGUAUCAUUGAAUGGAUUUUGGUAAUUUUGUCUCAUGAUAUCACAAAAUAUACUGAGCCUACUUGAAUUGACAAAAUUUUGUUAUGUCAAUUGCAGCAUCUCUACCAGUUAUAACACAUCAAUGCAGACCUGCAAGAAAAAUCUUUGUGAAUAUUACUGUAAAAUACCACAGAUAACAUAUCUCUACCAGUUAUAACACAUCAAUGCAGACCUGCAAGAAAAAUCUUUGUGAAU